rnacentral:rRNA from 1 species
UACGUAGGGUGCGAGCGUUGUCCGGAAUUAUUGGGCGUAAAGAGCUCGUAGGCGGUUUGUCGCGUCGGCCGUGAAAACUUGGGGCUUAACCCCAAGCCUGCGGUCGAUACGGGCAGACUUGAGUUCGGCAGGGGAGACUGGAAUUCCUGGUGUAGCGGUGAAAUGCGCAGAUAUCAGGAGGAACACCGGUGGCGAAGGCGGCAUCCUGGACCGGUAUUGACGCUGAUGCGCGAAAGCCAGGGGAGCAAACGGG